GGGGAGGUAGCUCAGUGGUAGAGUGCUUGCCUUGCAUGCAUGAGGCCCUGGGUUCAAUUCCUCAGCACCA
rfam:Dipodomys ordii contig_31075, whole genome shotgun sequence.